CCUCAGUAACCCUAAGACACCGGAAAAAAAUAUUUUCGCUUCCAUUGCUGAAUCGUAGCUUCCUCUUGUACCAGCUUUGGGUGAUCAACUCUAUGCCCUAGAUGGUUGCUAUAUCUGCAUAUAUCAGUUUUCAGAACUGUUCUCUCGGGUGGAUGGAAAUUUUAUCUUCUUUUUGUGCUCUGUUGAGGGUUCUAGGCCCCUGAAGAUUAUUACUUUUUUUAGUUGCUAGCUUUGGUGGCUCAAACAUUGAUCUGUCUGCCUGGGAGGACAAGAAGAACCCUAGUAAAUCUCGCUUUCCUGCUCAAGUGAGAUAGUUCUUUACCAUAUAAUCUGAACAAAAUGCAUUGUGUUCCAAUUAUGGGUUCAGAUCUAACACUAGUCAAGAUUUUAGUAGGUGUUCCAUCUCAAAAGUUCUUGGUUCAGAUAAACCCAUAACCAAAUGAUGACAUCCACCUCUGGAUACUUCACAAAAGAGGAAAAUUUUAUGUGUACCAGGUUUCUUAUGUGAUAGAACAGGGAAGCCACUAAUCAUCUACUGCUACAUUUUGAUUCAAACUGCCAGGUCUAGACUCAAUAGGUUUAGGGGUGCAGUGGGUGAGGCCAAAGGAUGUCAACAGUCUAAUGUGAAGACGGAAGGGACAAAACAUUGGGAACAAGGUUCCUAGCUUUGGUGGCUCAAAUAUUGAUCUGUCUGCCUGGGAGGACAAGAAGAACCCUAGUGAAUGUCGCGUUCCUACUCAAGUUGUCCAAUGAUUCCAAGAGUUGUUUGCUCAAACCAAGUAUAAAGAGGCUGCUUACUGCAGAAUCCCCACAAGGCGUACUCCGUACACUAAAUACUGUUGCUAAAUCCAGGUGUCCAAAAUGAAGAAAGAGAUAAAGGAAAAUGAUGAAGACAUUGACCUUACUUGAGA